ACGGCCAUACCACGUUGAAAACACCGGUUUUCGUCCGAUCAUCGAAGUUAAGCAACGUCGGGCCCGGUCAGUACUUGGGAGGGUGACAACGACAUUUGACAAUUAUC